rnacentral:rRNA from 1 species
GCCAGACUCCUACGGGAGGCAGCAGUGGGGAAUAUUGCACAAUGGGGGAAACCCUGAUGCAGCGACGCCGCGUGAGUGAAGAAGUAUUUCGGUAUGUAAAGCUCUAUCAGCAGGGAAGAUAAUGACGGUACCUGACUAAGAAGCCCCGGCUAACUACGUGCCAGCAGCCGCGGUAAUACGUAGGGGGCAAGCGUUAUCCGGAUUUACUGGGUGUAAAGGGUGCGCAGGUGGCAGGGCAAGUCAGAUGUGAAAGCCCGGGGCUCAACCCCGGUAUUGCAUUUGAAACUGUCCGGCUAGAGUGCAGGAGAGGUAAGCGGAAUUCCUAGUGUAGCGGUGAAAUGCGUAGAUAUUAGGAGGAACACCAGUGGCGAAGGCGGCUUACUGGACUGUAACUGACACUGAGGCACGAAAGCGUGGGGAGCAAACAGGAUUAGAUACCCUCGUA